rnacentral:rRNA from 1 species
GAUGAACGCUAGCGGCAGGCCUAACACAUGCAAGUCGAGGGAGAAGCCCUUUCGGGGGCAGAAACCGGCGCACGGGUGCGUAACGCGUAUGCAACCUACCUUUCACAGGGGGAUAGCCCGAAGAAAUUUGGAUUAAUACCCCAUAAUAUUAUUGGAUGGCAUCAUUUGAUAAUUAAAACUGCGGUGGUGAAAGAUGGGCAUGCGUCCUAUUAGCUAGUUGGAGUGGUAACGGCACCCCAAGGCUACGAUAGGUAGGGGUCCUGAGAGGGAGAUCCCCCACACUGGUACUGAGACAGGGACCAGACUCCUACGGGAGGCAGCAGUGAGGAAUAUUGGUCAAUGGUCGGAAGACUGAACCCAGCCAUGCCGCGUGCAGGAAAGAAAUGCCCUUUAUGGGGUUGUAAAACUGCUUUUAUAUGGGAAAGAAUAAAGGGCGUAACG